rnacentral:rRNA from 1 species
AAUGAACGCUGGCGGCGUGCCUAAUACAUGCAAGUCGAACGACCGGACCAUAAGCUUUCUUCUCUGAUGUUGGCGACUGACGGGUGAGUAACACGUGGAUAACCUUCUUCUUUUUCUUGGAGAAUUACGUGGAACCACAUCUGAUACCACAGCAUAUUUUCUACCGCAGAGUUCAAGAGUUAUUCGCACUUUUCCUGUCUCUAUUAGCUGGAUCCGCGCUGGAUUAUCUAGUUGGUAAGGUAACGGCCUACCAAGGCUACGAUGCAUAGCCGAUCUGAGAGGGUGAUCAGCCACACUGGAACUGAGACACGGUCCAGACUCCUACGGGAGGCAGCAGUAGGGAAUAUUCCGCAAUGGGCGCAAGCCUGACGCAGCAACGCCGCGUGAGUGAUGAAGGUCUUCGGAUCGUAAAACCCUGUUAUUAGGGAAGAAAAUCUGUGUGUGAAAAUGUCGACAUUCUGACGGUACCUAAAGAGAAAGCAACGGCUAACUACGUG